rnacentral:rRNA from 1 species
CGAGAAAGCCCGCAAGGGUGAGUACAGCGGCGCACGGGUGCGUAACACGUGAGUAAUCUGCCCUGGAGCCCGGAAUAACCUCCCGAAAGGGAAGCUAAUGCCGGAUGAGCCCACGGGGUCCUUGGACCCUGAGGGAAAAGGCGGCCUCUGUAUACAAGCUGUCACUUCAGGAUGAGUUCGCGGCCCAUCAGCUAGUUGGCGGGGUAAUGGCCCACCAAGGCAACGACGGGUAGCUGGUCUGAGAGGACGAUCAGCCACACUGGAACUGAGACACGGUCCAGACUCCUACGGGAGGCAGCAGUGGGGAAUCUUGCGCAAUGGGCGAAAGCCUGACGCAGCAACGCCGCGUGUGUGAUGAAGGUCUUCGGAUCGUAAAGCACUGUCGCGAGGGACG